rnacentral:lncRNA from 12 species
UUACCCUCCCUGUAGGACACUUUCAUCGUGAACUCCAAGGUCUUUGUGACGAAACAGAGACUAAGGCAUCAGAAAGAAGUGACUGAUUUCUUGAUUUCUCAUUCCAAUUACCUUUGAUUCAAGUCACAUAUGUGCUCAAUCCACGUCUAUGAAAUAUUCAGAUUAAAAAACGAACAUCCAAAUAAAAAGGGGUGAAAUUCAACUACUUGAGUUGGUGAACUUAUUAUCGGAAACAGGCAGACAUAUGGGCUUCCAAGAAGCCCUCAAUAGAUAGCCACUUUCUUGUCCUUGGCCAGAAGCACAUCACAUAGCUCCUCCACCUCAAGGAAGUCUAGGAAAUGGACUACGUAACUUCUUCAGGCUCUCUAUCAGAGGUUUCAACCGAAUACCUGCGGCUGUACUUACAGAAGGUGGCCAGGAGGACCCAUCGAUUUUGGCAAGUACCUGUGGUCUGAAAGGUACAAAUCAGAACUUUCACCACGUUCCAUCUGGCACUCGCUGGUGGCGCCAACACCUCAAAAGCCCUGCUCGGGCCAUUUGUCACCAUGUGGACACGCACAGACCACUAUGGAAAAUGGAAUUUUUGAACCACCCUGAAUGACCUGCCUGUAUGUGUAGACAGCCGUGGUCACCUUCUCUCCAUAUAUUGGUUGUGCGGACUCCAAUGUGGUUCCUAUUAUGCUAUUAUUUUCCGUUAAAAGUAAAAUGCUUUUGGGAAGCUGGACAUUUCUGAAGUGAGUUCACACCUACUCUCUCCCCUUACUUUCCAAAGGACCCACUCAUAACCCGAAUGUUAGCCAGUACGUAGCAAAAGGAAAAAAAACCUUUAUUACUAUUAUUGUUAUUACUGUCGAUUUUCCUUAGAAUCCCAAGGAAUUCACGUAAUUUAGAGCAAACCAUUAGAAGGAGAUCGUUAUUUUCAGUGUGACUCUUCCUGUGAAGGUCUGGAUUGAGAGCUCCCGCUGCCUUUCCUGGAAACGGAUGCUAGACUUUAAGAACAGUGAAUUUCCCUCCAACCACGUGAAAUGAUCACUGUGAUGUAAUCAGUAGUAGGAGUAAAUCUGUUAGGCUUUUGUCAUUUCUUCCUACUAUAUUUUUGUAGGUCCUCACCAGGGAUUACUUUACCAUUUUCAGCAGCAUUUUUUUUUCUUUGUAGCAUUAAUGAGGAAAAAUUGAGUAGUUCUCCCGUGGUAUUCCCACGUGACAAAAAUAUACCUAAGACCUCACAGUUCAGAAGGAAGAACCAGAAAAUAAUUAAUUAUUCCAUUGUAACUCCUGCCUCGAAACUAUCAGGAACCUAACAGAACAUUACAAAUCUACCCCCCGUGUUAGUUAUCUUUCUUAGGUGUGAAUCGUAUCUCCUCAUAUAAUAAGCUCCCCUAGGAGAAAGAGAUCACCAUUUAUUGAGAAUAAGCCAUGGGCCACCAUGUGUUUUAUUUCUGUGUGUUACCAACCACCCUAUGAGGUCAUUACAGAUGAGGGAAGUGUGGGAGGUUUGAGUCAUUCUUCCAAACGCAUUCAGUGAACAAGUAAUGUUUCCCACCAGCACCCCCCUCCCGCCUCCCGCAACCAACCCUCUGCUUGAGCUUGCCCAGGCUCUC